rnacentral:rRNA from 1 species
GAUAAACGCUAGCGGCAGGCUUAACACAUGCAAGUCGAGGGGCAGCAUAGAUUGUAGCAAUACAAUUGGUGGCGACCGGCGCACGGGUGCGUAACGCGUAUGCAACCUGCCCGUCACAGGGGGAUAAUCCGGAGAAAUCUGGUCUAAUACCCCAUAACAUAUGGAUCGGCAUCGGUUCAUGUUGAAAUUUUCGGAGGUGACGGAUGGGCAUGCGUAGCAUUAGCUUGUUGGUGAGGUAACGGCUCACCAAGGCGACGAUGCUUAGGGGGACUGAGAGGUUUUCCCCCCACACUGGUACUGGGACACGGACCAGACUCCUACGGGAGGCAGCAGUGAGGAAUAUUGGUCAAUGGGCGCAAGCCUAAACCAGCCAUGCCGCGUGCAGGAUGUCGGCUCUAUGAGUUGUAAACUGCUUUUGUACGAGGGUAAAGUGGGUUACGUGUAACCUUUUGAAAGUAUCGUACGAAUAAGGAUCGGCUAACUCCGUGCCAGCCGCCGCCGUAA